rnacentral:rRNA from 1 species
UGGGGAAUAUUGGACAAUGGGCGCAAGCCUGAUCCAGCCAUGCCGCGUGGGGGAUGAAGGCCUUCGGGUCGUAAACCCCUUUUCUGAGAGAAGAACAGCCUGCGUAGGAAAUGACGUGGGUUUGACGGUAUCUCAGGAAUAAGCAACGGCCAACUCCGUGCCAGCAGCCGCGGUAAUACGGAGGUUGCAAGCGUUGUUCGGAAUUACUGGGCGUAAAGGGAGCGCAGGCGGUCGGGUAAGUCUGAAGUGGAAGCCCGGGGCUCAACCCCGGAAGUGCUUUGGAUACUGCCUGACUUGAGUACGCGAGAGGAAAGCGGAAUUCCAGGUGUAGCGGUGAAAUGCGUAGAUAUCUGGAGGAACACCGGUGGCGAAAGCGGCUUUCUGGCGCGUUACUGACGCUGAGGCUCGAAAGCGUGGGGAGCAAACGG